rnacentral:rRNA from 1 species
UACGUAGGGGGCAAGCGUUGUCCGGAUUUACUGGGCGUAAAGAGCGCGUAGGCGGAGAUCUAAGCGUGGCCUGAAAGCCCCCGGCUCAACCGGGGAGUGCGGCUGCGAACUGGGUUUCUUGAGGACGAUAGAGGAGAGUGGAAUUCCUGGUGUAGCGGUGAAAUGCGUAGAUAUCUGGAGGAACACCGGUGGCGAAGGCGGCAUCCUGGACCGGCAUUGACGCUGAGGCGCGAAAGCCAGGGGAGCAAACGGG